AGGAUGUUGUAGAUUUUGAUGACCACCUUGACGAUAUUAAGAUGGGUUGGCUUAAUCUGGAAAUCUUCAAAUAAGAUCCUUUGAUUGGCAUCUUGAGGUAGACAAUGAAAUCUAGAAACCAUUGGAGAUUUUAUCGGGAUGUAUUAACCAGGUAUCGGUUAUAAAUUUCAUGAAGAUACGAUGGACAUUUCUUAAGCAAAACAUGAGCGUUUUACAGUCAUUGGUUUCGAACUUGUUAGUGGAAUGCAGAGCCGUUCUGUUUUUAAUUUA